UAAGAAAAGUGUCAUAUAGUUCCCUUCGAAAAACGCUAAGUAUGCAGAUGUCGUCGCAUAUGUAUGCAUGAGUGCAAGCUAAUACUCUAACACUUAGAAUUUAUGAUACACGCAAGCCGCAAAAGAGAUCUAUGAGAUCAUACGAUUCAGUUGCGUAACACAUGUGUGCAAGUUAUAUACCGCCCGCCGCCCACUUGCAAUACUUUUACGGUCCAUAUCCCUAUCCCGGUUGCAUGUGUUAUAAAGACGCGGCGAACGCACAUGCAAGUUCAUCCUUGAAUCAAUAACGAUUAACGACAUUUGUUCAUCGAUCUUAAUAAUGGCAGGACGUCGAUCAUGAAAUAUGAUUCAAAUAUAAGGAUGAUCUAGCAUGACAUAUUUGUCUACAAUUUAAUCUUGGUGGAACGAGGAGAUAAGAAUACAGAGGUCAAGGGGUUGACCUUACCUAAACCGAGUAAAAGUAGCUUUACUGUCGCGCUGAUAUGUCGAAAGAUUUUAUUUAUGACGCAUUUACUUUUAUCGUAUCCAGGAGAGAAAACGGAUACUAUGAAAUUAGAACAUAAUCCAUCGCACAAUUUGAAAUUUUUAUAUACUAAUUAUAUAGUAACAUACGCUUUUUUUUUUUU